UACAUUUUAGUAUUUUAUGUACCUAGGUUUUUGAUUCCUAAGGAGAUGGUUAAUUACCAUCAAAUGUAA
rnacentral:tRNA from 1 species